rnacentral:rRNA from 1 species
GACCUACGGGGGGCAGCAGUGAGGGAUAUUGGUCAAUGGGGGAAACCCUGAACCAGCAACGCCGCGUGAGGGAAGACGGUUUUCGGAUUGUAAACCUCUGUCCUCUGUGAAGAUGACGACGGUAGCAGAGGAGGAAGCUCCGGCUAACUACGUGCCAGCAGCCGCGGUAAUACGUAGGGAGCAAGCGUUGUCCGGAUUUACUGGGUGUAAAGCGAGUGCAGGCGGGUCAAUAA